rnacentral:rRNA from 1 species
AGACCCGAAACCCGGUGAUCUAGCCAUGGGCAGGUUGAAGGUUGGGUAACACUAACUGGAGGACCGAACCGACUAAUGUUGAAAAAUUAGCGGAUGACCUGUGGCUGGGGGUGAAAGGCCAAUCAAACCGGGAGAUAGCUGGUUCUCCCCGAAAGCUAUUUAGGUAGCGCCUCGUGAAUUCAUCUCCGGGGGUAGAGCACUGUUUCGGCUAGGGGGCCAUCCCGGCUUACCAACCCGAUGCAAACUGCGAAUACCGGAGAAUGUUAUCACGGGAGACACACGGCGGGUGCUAACGUCCGUCGUGAAGAGGGAAACAACCCAGACCGCCAGCUAAGGUCCCAAAGUCAUGGUUAAGUGGGAAACGAUGUGGGAAGGCCCAGACAGCCAGGAUGUUGGCUUAGAAGCAGCCAUCAUUUAAAGAAAGCGUAAUAGCUCACUGGUCGAGUCGGCCUGCGCGGAAGAUGUAACGGGGCUAAACCAUGCACCGAAGCUGCGGCAGCGAACGUAUCACUUAAAGCGAUUCAGCGGGUUACGAUUGACGGAGCGAAGCGACGUCAAAGCGUAUACAAAGUCGAGUCGGUUUAAGGAUACGUUCGUUGGGUAGGGGAGCGUUCUGUAAGCCUGUGAAGGUGUGUCGUGAGGCAUGCUGGAGGUAUCAGAAGUGCGAAUGCUGACAUAAGUAACGAUAAAG